rnacentral:tRNA from 1 species
UCCCAGGUGGCUCAAUGGUAAAGUAUCUGCCUGCAGUGCAGGAGACACGGGUUCAAUCCCUGGGUUGGGAA